rnacentral:rRNA from 1 species
UACGUAGGCAGCGAGCGUUGUUCGGAGUUACUGGGCGUAAAGGGUGUGUAGGCGGUCUUUUAAGUUUGGUGUGAAAUCUCCCGCUUAACCGGGAGGGUGCGCCGAAUACUGAGGGACUAGAGUGCGGGAGAGGAAAGUGGAAUUCCUGGUGUAGCGGUGAAAUGCGUAGAUAUCGGGAGGAACACCAAUUGCGAAGGCAGCUCGCUGGGACGGUACUGACGCUGAGGCGCGAAAGCGUGGGGAGCAAACAGG